GCGCAUUUCGACAAUACAUGUCUCUUCAGUGAUGCUCGUGGCCAAAAUAUUUGAAAUACAAAGCUUAUAUAAAAGAUGAAGAGCUAUAAUCCAAAAGGUCCAAAAAGUAUAACCAAAUCCGUGAAAGGAAUCAGAGCUUUGCAUGAGGGAGAUACAUUCCUUAAUUUAUAAUAAUUUCCAUCAUUUUGUAACAGCAAAUUUUGAUAAC
rnacentral:lncRNA from 1 species